GUAUGUGUUUGUGUGUGUGUGUAUGUAUCUAUAUAUAUAUACAUAUAUAUAUAUAUAUAUAUACAUAUAUAUAUAUAUAGAUACAUACACACACACACACACACGGCG